rnacentral:rRNA from 1 species
AUGUACCACAACAUACGGUCAUUUGGCAAACAAGAUGGUUUGGAUCGUAGUCAUAUGGAGCUCUACUUCUAUGAUGAUGAUCCCAGUUUAGAGCAUAGGUAUCGCAGUUGUCGUAAAGAGCAGUGCCAGAAAGACAAAGAAGUAAUCACACAACUGGUCGACAUACUUUGUGGCAACCCAUACUCUGAACACCUCCGUAGUAUGGGGCAUGUUGAUGAUGUGGAUGACUAUCACAUAACACUUAACCUUGACCAAAGGAUGGAUCAGAGAAGAUAUAAUGCGCCGACCACUUCAGAAGUAGCAGCUGUGUGGGUGGAGGGCAGUGAACGUCAAAGACAAUUCGGUAAUAGUGUCAUCCUGCAUGGGAAGAAUAGAGAUAUAUAUGGAAUCAAGUCAUAUCAUGGAUGCUAUGAUGCAUUGUCGUACCCUCUAUUCUUCCCUAGAGGCGAACUUGGGUGGCAUACUGAUAUCCCGAAGGAAGGUGUGUCCUAUGAAACUGUGAUGGCAGCUCGUGCAGCCCGUCUAGCUCGUGGUCAUAGUGAUGAGUCCUCUAAUCCUGGUGAUAAAGAUGAUGAGGACGAGGAUGAUAAUGCAGGUUAG